AUGAACGCUGGCGGCGUGCCUAAUACAUGCAAGUCGAGCGAACAGAUGAGGAGCUUGCUCCUCUGACGUUAGCGGCGGACGGGUGAGUAACACGUGGAUAACCUACCUAUAAGACUGGGAUAACUUCGGGAAACCGGAGCUAAUACCGGAUAAUAUAUUGAACCGCAUGGUUCAAUAGUGAAAGACGGUUUUGCUGUCACUUAUAGAUGGAUCCGCGCCGCAUUAGCUAGUUGGUAAGGUAACGGCUUACCAAGGCGACGAUGCGUAGCCGACCUGAGAGGGUGAUCGGCCACACUGGAACUGAGACACGGUCCAGACUCCUACGGGAGGCAGCAGUAGGGAAUCUUCCGCAAUGGGCGAAAGCCUGACGAAGCAACGCCGCGUGAGUGAUGAAGGUCUUCGGAUCGUAAAACUCUGUUAUUAGGGAAGAACAAAUGUGUAAGUAACUAUGCACGUCUUGACGGUACCUAAUCAGAAAGCCACGGCUAACUACGUG
rnacentral:rRNA from 1 species